rnacentral:lncRNA from 1 species
UGUGUUGGCUGGGCCUGUUGAAAUUCUUCCCACAGCCUCAUGAGAGAAAGGGGCACACAGAGAAAGGAACAGGUGUUCAGGAUGUCUAUAUAUUAAAAAAAAGAAACACAUGCAAGAACUUCAUAAGAAAGUGUUUUAAGGAAUUGUAGACACAGGGGCUCAAGAAGGAAAUCUCUUUCUCCUUAAUGAAAAUAAUGUUGGGAAAAGAGAAAUUCAGGAAUUCUCUCCCCUAUGAUUCAUAUCCCCAGAUAUUCUCUGGCAUUCUCACUAUAUAGUUUCCUUUUUUUUUUUUUUUUUUUUUGUACUGUAUUGCUUUUUUUUUUUUUUUUUUUUUUCCCCCAGAAAGAGAAAAUCUUACUGGAGAAAACCAUGCCAAGCCUGAGAACAUUGAGUACCCAAGGCCAAGCUCAACAAGGGCAGAGAACUUUCCGGCAAGAAAUUAUCCCAUCUGUAACAAGGCCAGUCUCAUGGUCUACAGCUCACAAUUGGCAAGAAGAUAGAUUAAAUGGACAUUCAAGGACCUGCACAUUUGGUCCCAGCAUCCUCCCAGUUCACCCCGUAGGCCACCCACAUGGACUCAUUGUCCUCAUUUUUGUGUUACAACUUUCGCACAUGCUACUUCCUUUGCCUGGAAAGACUUCUUUCUGAUUCUACUUGCCUGGAAAAGCCCAACCAUCCUUUAAGAAUCAGCUCAAAGGUCACCUCCUCUAUGAAGGCUCUCCUGUAUACUCAGUCAUUCACCCACACAUGCUUAUUGAGUACUGUUGUGCUCUUCAGCCAAGACUACCAUGAACCUGCCAGCAAUGAAACAAGGUAGGAGAUGCCUCCAUGGGGGCAUCUCCAUAGCGUGUUACACAGAACUUAUUAUAAGAUGUGGAUUUUGGUUUGGUGAUUUGGGGAGGAUCUAAGAAAUCAAGAAUUUGCUGUAGAUUGGAAACCACCAGAGAACAAGGGCAAUUCUAUGAUUGGGUUUUAUGGGUGGCACAGUGACCUUGUUUUUGUCUUUGCAGAGACAAAAUUAUGCAGUGACCUUGUUUUGUUUCACUUUAUCAUGGUUCAGAGUAAGUUUAUCUGAGGUUGGUGUUCUGUAAGACUGUUUAUGUCCAACAAAAGAAUAAAAUGGCCUGGCUAUGAGAGCUUGUAAUACUAUUCGGGUCCAGCUGUGAUUAUUUGUGUGUGUCAGGAUCUGCUUUCUUUUUUCUUAGCAUCUAUAGUAUAGCCGUUCUUGGACUAUGAUAAUGUCUGUAUGUCUUUUACAUCACUUCAGCAUGUUGUAUUGUGUAGCAGACAGUGCUGGUAUCUCUUAAGAUCCAUUCAAAC